UACGUAGGGGCUAGCGUUGUCCGGAUUUAUUGGGCGUAAAGAGCGUGUAGGCGGCCAGGUAGGUCUGCUGUGAAAACUCGAGGCUCAACCUCGAGCUGUCGGCGGAAACCAUCUGGCUAGAGUCCGGAAGAGGAGAGUGGAAUUCCUGGUGUAGCGGUGAAAUGCGCAGAUAUCGGGAAGAACACCCGUGGCGAAGGCGGUUCUCUGGGACGGUACUGACGCUGAGAC
rnacentral:rRNA from 1 species